rnacentral:rRNA from 1 species
GAUGAACGCUGGCGGCGUGCCUAACACAUGCAAGUCGAGCGAUUCUCUUCGGAGAAGAGCGGCGGACGGGUGAGUAACGCGUGGGUAACCUGCCCUGUACACACGGAUAACAUACCGAAAGGUAUGCUAAUACGGGAUAACAUAAGAAAUUCGCAUGUUUUUCUUAUCAAAGCUCCGGCGGUACAGGAUGGACCCGCGUCUGAUUAGCUAGUUGGUGAGGUAAUGGCUCACCAAGGCGACGAUCAGUAGCCGACCUGAGAGGGUGAUCGGCCACAUUGGAACUGAGACACGGUCCAAACUCCUACGGGAGGCAGCAGUGGGGAAUAUUGCACAAUGGGCGAAAGCCUGAUGCAGCAACGCCGCGUGAGCGAUGAAGGCCUUCGGGUCGUAAAGCUCUGUCCUCAGGAAGAUAAUGACGGUACUUGAGGAGGAAGCCCGGCUAACUACGUGCCAGCAGCCGCGGUAACUGUAGUCGU